AUGGCGAAAUCGAAGCUACGCUAUCCCAUAUCCCAAGAGGCGAGAAUUGAGAUAGAGUGCGGAGACUGGGAGGAGGAGGAGCGGGCACUGACCGAGCAGGACGUCGAGGCUGAGGCGGUGGCGGCGGAUGAGCCAGUGGUCGCCGUCCAGCUGGUGCCGCAUGCGGUCAGCCGUGGGCCGUGGCCCCGAGGUCAGCGGAGGAGAGGCGGGGAAUCUGGGACUUCCCAUCGCCGGAGAGGAGGAGGCAUGGACAUGGGACUCCCGAUCGGCAACGGCUCGGACGCCUCUGACGAGCUGCCGGACAAGCAAGGGCUGUUGGAGCACAGGUCCAGCGCCGGGAGCUUCUCGACCAGGCGGCGCCAGAUCCCUAGCUACACGGGGCCGGCUCGAACCCGAAACUACAGAUCGAUGAGAGUGUUUUUUUUUUUACUCCCGGAUGUGAUGUACCCUCAUGAACAAUCGGUACAGCGUGAUGAGGCACAUUGCAACAUCAUCACUUGUGGGGCUUGGUACGUGGCACAUUGCAACAUCAUCACUUGUGGGGCUUGGUACGUGGUGGCAUUGGGGCAGGAGCAGCCCGGUGCUCUCCAUCGCUCAUGUGAAUCUCUUCCAUGGCCUUCACUGGUGAUGCGCUGUGUCUUCCACGGCCAGCGUGAGGAACAGGAUUGGUGGCAACCCCUCUCAGAUCGAGCGGGGAAGGUGAGGGCGGGUCAUCCAUUUGAAAAAAGAAAAGAAAAACCAAUGCAGGAGCUCAUGGAGACAGAUCCUUCCUGCUACUAUGUGAGUGAUGAUAUAGACUAUCAAUGUCCAAGCAACUACACCAGCGAACUCGACUCUCGGUUCGUCAAGAAAAUUGUAAGGCAGCUGUGGCGAGUGGAAGCGGUGAUGAUCGCUAACGCCAUCCUUGGAGGAGUCAUAGUCGGAAUAGGCACCUAUGGCCAUCGCUAUCGCCACUAUGGCAUCACCCGCUAUCUCUUGCUAGGGGCCACCACAUUGUUCCUACCCAUCACGUCUUAUGUGAUUACGGCAACUGGCUCCAUAGGUGGUGAGUUUACUGUCAGUAUCGAGAAGACAUUGCCAGCUGAAUGCUGGGUAAACAUCUUUCACAGAAACAUCGGCACUGUAUCAGCAUGCCUUGUUUUGAUUUCUGCUAUCAAUACAAGGAACAAGCUCUAUAGUUGGAAUUUGGAUGGUUUACCUGGCUAUCAACACCGGUGCUUUUCCCAUCAGCUGCGAGAAAGAAGUGAUCAACAUGGCGAUUCCCUGACAGACAAGGAGGAUGCGCCUCCUCCACUUAUAGUAAUGGGUGAGGAUGAACGACAAGUAAAGAAGCAACAACAUGGUUACAUGUUCAGAAAGAACUUGGAGGCAAUUCAGGACGGCGGUUUGUUGCUAAGGUGUCGAUUUGCGAGGUACAAACUCAUCAACGUGAUCUCCACGGAGACCCUCAAAUUUGCCAGAAGCAUCUUGCUAAAGGAUGGUCAACAUGAAAUGGCGUUCAAGAUGAUUGCAAAUGAACUUUCUUUUAUUCAUGGUUACUGCAUACUUUGUGGAAUAGACAUCAUCGUGGUGGUGUACCUAGCAGCUCAUUCAAAGAUGUAUUCUCCAGACCCAGGACAACGAUUGGGUCCUCAAGACCUAAAAGCGAAAUCGUUUGGAAGUUUGUAUUUUGAUCUGGUGCUGAUACUGUUACUCCUCCUUUUUGUGGUGGUUGCCAAGGCGAGGGAUAUUGCUUCCCACAUAUGCUCUAACUGGACCAAAAUGCAACAGGUUACUGAGGCAAGGAAUAAUGUUGAAAUACCAUCGGCAGUCAAUGUUUGCAUCAUGGAUGCCCUAAGAAGCACAAACAUCGGAGGCCUCGGCAAAGGUAUAAGGCCCCUGAGCCAAGACGAUGAAAGUUUUCUCUGGGCCUGCAACAACAGUGGUACAUCUGACAUCAUACUUGUGUGGCACAUCGCCAUGACCAUCCUUGAGGCGAGGCACCCACACCACCAACAUGAUGAUCCUCCUCGGCAAACACCCCAAGAUGGUCGGCCUUCUUCUAUUUUUGUUUUCAAUGCCGAGCGAGCCCUCUCGGUCGAAAGCGGCACUAGGGUGUCGUCCAUGCCGCCAGAAGCGAGGUACCGACGGCUCGUCGAGUUGUUGGGCGCCGCACAGAAUCAUGAGGUACUCAAGGAUGCGGCAAAGCUCGCGGAGCAGCUUGGGGAGCUGACCGGAGGCGAGGAGAUGGCGUGGGAGUUGCUGACCAGGUUUUGGUCAGAGGGCGGCGGGCUGAUAAUCCUCCUCUGCGCCUUGCACACCCACAUCGGGAUCAUGGACAAGCCGGACGACGCCACUGCCGGCGCUGCAAGUCUUGUUGGCUUUUCCCCGCUCAUUUUUAUUGGUCAAGAAGUGAUUGGAAGUUGUGUCCUAGCUUGUAGCCCGUGCGCGAGGCCGUGGGCAGACAAUUCCCAGCACUGCGUCCAUGUCUUCGAGUGGCACACGCCGAGCUGCCCACGCCGGCCGUGGCGGUCCAGGUCUUGGGUCAUCGAGAGGCGGUUGACGUGUACAGGGACGACCGUGCGUGUCAGCAUCACCGUGGCGCGAGUAAAGUCUGUUUUAAACCCUGAACUCGUACACUUCGUCGCUUUUAAACCCCAGCCUCCAAAUCCCGGAAAUCUGUACCCUCAACUCUCUAAUCCCGCUUCCUCCCGCGGCGGCAAUGGCGACGCUGAGUGGAUGAUCGCAGCGAGCUCCGACCACCACGCCGGCGGAAAAGGAACAGGUUUUUUCAAUCAAUUCAUGGAUCCAGCAGAGGUGCUCAAUGUCAGGUUUCACUAUGGAGGGGAGUUCAUUCAUAUUGCGUCAACUCUUGAUUAUGUUGGGGGAGAUACUGCAAUGUCAGAGAUAGAGAGGGAUAAGUUGUCACUGCCAGAGCUCAGAGGAUUUUUAGGAGACCAUUUGACAGUUAAAAAGAGCAUGAAGCUGUAUUUUCUUAUGCCAGGGAGAGAGUUGGUUAAUGGACUAUUGUUUUUGUACACUGAUGAAGGUUGCAUGAAGAUGUCAGAGUACAUUACAGAUGGAGGUGUUGCUGAUGUGUAUGUGGAGUACAAUGUACGGAAGAACCAGAUGCAGUUAUCACUUCAGAAGAAGAAGAAGAAGACUUUUUUUCAGACAAAUGUUCAGCAAGUAGAUGCAGUAGCAGAGUCAGACAUUUUGGAAAAUAUCUUAGUUCCUAAUGAGGAUGGUGUGGUUACUCAAGUGAUAACCAGCCCUGUGAAGAAAAACUUGAGAGUUGAUGAACUAUACCAAGGUUCUCAAAUAAUGAAUCCUUCUCAGCCUUUUGUUGCUAGCCAAACUGUAGCUACAAUUCCAGAAGCUGCACAAGAUGGUUCAGACUCUGAAGAUUCUGAUGAUCCUGAUUAUGUGGCACAUACUGAUGAUAGUGGAGAGGAACCAGAGUCAACAGGUACAGUUCCUAUAGAGCUAAUUGCUAAUGUGGAAGAAGCUGCACAUGACCUAGAGUUUGAGUCCUCUGAUGAGGAUUAUAGUUAUGAUGAAGAUGAAGAUGGUCAGAUGGUUAGGAGGAAGAGCAGCAAGAACCAAUUAGUCAAAGCACUGAAGAGGUAUGGGCUUGCUACUAAAAGGAGCAUAUCAUUUGUAAAAUCUGAGGAGCAGAGGGUGAGAGCAAAAUGUGACUGGCCUGGUUGUCCCUGGAUGUUGUAUGGUGCCAAGACAAGUAGAUGUUCUAGGUUUCAAAUAAUUACCUAUGAAGAUGAGCACCAGUGUGCACAGAACAGGGAGAAUAAACUUGUUAGUGCCAAGGUGAUUGCAAAUAGUGAGUAUACAAAAGUGUUUGACUACCAACUAGAACUGCUCAGGAGCAACCCUGGCAGUACAGUGGCCAUUACACUAGAUCCAACUAACCUGCAGAAGAACAUUUUUCAGCAAUACUAUGUCUGUUUUGAUGCUAUGAAGAAAGGUUUUAAAGCAAGGUGCAGAAAAGUCAUUGGACUAGAUGGCUGCUUUUUCAAGGGAGCUUGUCAAGGUGAAUUGCUGGCUGCAAUUGCAAGGGAUGCCAAUAAUCAAAUGUACCCAGUGGCUUGGGCUGUGGUGGAGAAAGAGACAAAUGAUAGGUCGAAGUGGUUUAUUGCUCUGUUAAUCAAAGACUUGGAUAUUAAUGACCAAGGAGCAGGAUGGGUUUUCAUUUCUGAUCAGCAGAAGGGCUUGAUUAACAGCAUGAGGGACUAUUUUCCCAAGGCAGAGCACAGGAUGUGUGCCAGGCAUAUAUAUGCCAAUUGGAGAAAGAAAUACAAGGACCAUGAGUACCAAAAGAGAUUUUGGGCAAUUGCCAAAGCUGCAAACAAAGAGGAUUUUAACUACAACAAGGCAAGGCUUGCUCAGCUAACUCCUGAUGGUGCAAAGGAUAUCAUGAGGACAGAACCAGUUCAUUGGGCUAGGGCAUUUUUCCCUGCAGGAGCUAACUGUGAAUCAGUAGACAAUAAUCUUUGUGAGUCAUUUAACAAUGCCAUUACAGAAUCAAGGUUCUAUCCAAUAAUUUCACAGCAAGAUAUGAUAAGAAAGAAAAUGCUUGUUAGGGUGCAAGAGCAGAGAGCCAAUUCAGCAAAAUGGAAGGGCAAAAUUUGCCCAAAUAUUUUCAAGAAGCUCCAGGUUAGCAUUAGAUUGACACAAUACAUUGAGGUGCUCUGGAAUGGCAAGGAGGGAUUUGAGGUGCAACACAUGAAGGGUAGAAAGAAGAAGUACACGGUAAAUCUUGAAAAAAGGAUUUGUACUUGUGGUUACUUUCAACUGGCAGGCCUCCCUUGUUGUCAUGCUAUUGCAGCUAUAUAUAAGAGUGGAAGAAAGGUAGAUGACUACAUAGACAAGUGCUACUGGAUUGAGACUUUCAAUAAAAUUUAUGAGCAUUGUCUCCAGCCUGUUCUAGGAGAAGAGAACUGGCCUGUGUCUCAAAACCCUAGGCCAGUUGCACCUGGAUACGUUGCCAUGCCAGGAGCAAGGAAGAAAAACAAUGAUAGAAGAAGAGAAGAGGGUGAAGCUCCAAAGGGAAAGAAAAUGAGCAAGCAUGGCAUACAGAUCACUUGUGGAUCUUGUGGAAUUUUGCCCAAAUACAUACUUACUUUGCUCUGUUCAUUCAUAUCUGUUGUUUGCAGCAAGCUCAGACCGAUGGGCCAAAAUCUUCAGCUCCAAGAAGGUCUAAAGCUCCAAGAACUCAUGCUCCAGCAGCAACAACCAGUCAAGCUCAGCCUUCAAGAACUACAGCAACAAGUUUUCAUGUUGGCACAUCAGGUUCUCAAGCUGCAACAUCAAGUUUCAGAGCUCCUAGAGUGGCAACUAGCUCUAAUCCUGUGA
rnacentral:rRNA from 1 species